rnacentral:rRNA from 1 species
AUACGUAGGUGGCAAGCGUUGUCCGGAUUUAUUGGGUUUAAAGGGUGCGUAGGCGGUUUGCUAAGCGGGAUGUGAAAUGCCGGCGCUCAACGUCGGAAGUGCCUCCCGAACUGGUGGACUUGAAUGACUCUGCCGUGGGAGGAAUGUGUAGUGUAGCGGUGAAAUACUUAUAGAUUACACAGAACACCGAUUGCGAAGGCAUUUCACGAAGGGUUGAUUGACGCUGAGGCACGAAAGCGUGGGGAUCAAACUGGAUUAGAUACCCUGGUAGUCCACGAAGUAAACGAUGAUGGCUAACCGCUGGGCUUAUCAGUUCAGUGGCCAAGCGAAAGCGAUAAGCCAUCCGCCUGGGGAGUACGACCGCAAGGUUGAAACUCAAAUGAAUUGGCGGGG